AGCCGCGGUAAUACCCGCGCCCGAGUGGUGGUCGAUAUUAUGAGCCUAAAACGUCCGUAGCCGGUCUUUAAAUCCGUUGGGUAAAUCGGGUAGCUUAACUAUCCGAAUUCCGGGGAGACUGAAAGACUUGGGACCGGGAGAGGUCAGAGGUACUUCUGGGGUAGGGGUAAAAUCCUGUAAUCCUGGAAGGACCACCGGUGGCGAAGGCGUCUGACUAGAACGGAUCCGACGGUGAGGGACGAAGCCCUGGGGCGCAAACGGGAUUAGAUACCCCGGUAGUCCAGGGUGUAAACGCUGCGGGCUUGGUGUUGGGGGUCCUUUGUGGGCGCCCAGUGCCGGAGAGAAGUUGUUAAGCCUGCUGCUUGGGGAGUAUGUCCGCAAGGAUGAAACUUAAAGGAAUUGGCGGGGGAGCACCGCAACGGGAAGGAGCGUGCGGUUCAAUUGGAUUCAACGCCGAAAAACUCACCAGGAGCGACGGAUAUAUGAAGGUCAAGCUGAUGACUUUACCUGAUUUUCCGAGUGGAGGUGCAUGG
rnacentral:rRNA from 1 species